ensembl:lncRNA
AGAGGAGAAGGAGGAGGUGGAGUAUUAUGUUCUGUCGUGCAUUCCACUGCAGCAUUGUUGCUUUUUUGUUUUUGUCAGGGCAGGCUUUGAUGCUGUAUCCUCUUACCUUUGUAGUCCCGGUAGCCAUGUUUCAUAAACACGGAAUGGGAAACAUCCUCAGCAUUAGAAAUUUAGAUUGCUGCUUUCCUCCUGCCACUCUGCAUUCCGCACGUGCCCGGUCGCAUUCUCCAUCUCCCAUUGCUGAGUAACCAUUUUGUCCGACAUCUGACACACUGCCCUGGGUUAUUGAGCCAGACGUGGAAAUCCAAAGCGGAGAUGCUCUCCUUAAUGCCUGACACCUGGUGCAGAUUUGGAAGGGAUUGCACUACAGGCUGUGUCCAGUUCUGUCACUGGUCCUUAGUGCUCCAGCAGCCUGGUCAAAAAGACAUCCUGGCAGGGUCCCAGGGUGGAUGCAUCGCCCACGCACGCUGCUCUUGCCAGAUCCCAGAAGUCUUUGUGGUGAACCACUGACCGUGCUGCUCCCUAUUUUCUUCCAGCCCAGCAAAUAAUGUGUCAGAAAAAGAUUAUUGAUAGCCCAUAAAAGAAGAGGCAGAAUGUUGUUGCCGCACUGCUCCAACUUUAAAGAACAAUACAAGUGCUAAACCAUCAGUUUCAAUGGUGCACUGCUCCUGAAAGAGCACAGCAUUUAUUUUUCACAUUGUUGUUCAGUUUGAAUAAAAGGUGCUACAAC